CAGCUGAAGACAGAUGCAUGCAUGCCCAGCCAAUAUUAACAGAGUCUGGCCCAGAUUGGAAGAACCAUUCAGCUGUGGGAGGCCCCACACUGCACACUCUCCAAACUAAUCAGGCUCUGUUUGGCAUACCAAUGGCAGGGCAGUGGGAACGGUCCACUCCUGGUGCAGCACCAGGCUUAGAUGCCCUUCAGCAGACGAAUG